GGCAAGAUGGCGGAGCCGGGAGGACUCUCAUUCUGAGCAGCAGCACAGCAGGAUCAGCACAGUGACCAGCAAUCGGAACUCUUGGCCAUAAAACACAGUCAUUGUGUUUCCCAGGCACUCAAGACUGUGGUCAUCUUGGAAUCCAGAACAAUGGGGUUGAUCAAACAUGCAUUGACUAGUGACUGAACUGGCCUCCAGCACCAGCAACCUGAGGGAAGGCCCCUGACUGUGAAGAAGUUACCUUUAACAUCUAUGGCCACACCCUGGAGCAAGCACAGUCAUCUCAUGGAGUCCAGCUUGUCCACUCAAGAGAGGACUUCUUUCUGUGGAGCCACUUUGUACUAGAGCAGAGAGAACCUUUCUUUGAAGGAGACUACUCAACUAAGCAUGCACCCUGCUUCCUUCUGCAGUUCUUCCUCUUUUAAACCUAAAACUCAUUAGUAUGCCAGUAAGACUUGGAGUCACAGAACCAGUUGAUCUGUUUCUCCUCCCAAUAUGCCAAUUUAAUUAAAUCUCCCUAUUCCCAUUUUCACCAUUACCCACCUUUAAUUGGUGUUUAGAAUGGGUGGCAGGAUGGAGGCAUUUUCCUUAAAACUCUAAUAAUUUUUAUUUGUGUAUUUUUCACAUCUAUUUGAUUUUUUUUAAGAAUCCAUUUUAUAAAUUACUCAUCUGGGUGGCUGUUUUUUUCCUCCUUCCCACAUUUUGACCUGAGUGAGUGCUUCGCUUGGCUGUCUAAAGCUAGAGCCACUCCCUGGGUUAUCACGUAGAACCUAAGAAGUGAGUGUCAGUCAAGUUGGAGACCAGAAAUAUAACCAACGGAGAAACACAGCCUAGAGAGCAUGCACAUGGGGACUCCUGGGAAAGGGAAGGGAAGGUGACAUAAGUUUGCCAGAACUCUGGAGGCUUAUUUCAUAUCAGACUUCCAGUUUCCCUUUGAGGCAGACUGGGAACAGGAGGGAGGUACAGAUUCUGAGAUGAAUGUAUGAAAGACAGCCAGAAUGGAAAGACUGGAAGCCCUUUGCCAGCCUUGGCUGCAUUCAAACUAGAGGACAGGUUUAAACAAGUCUUCAUUAUAGGAACUUGGGAAAGGAAGGUUCUAUAUAAAAGACCCAUAAAAAGUCACAUGGCCCCUGUCUCUGUUCUUCUUGCCCCAAGCAAGGGCACAGAUGAAGUUGGCACAUCUGCAUGCUCCUCUAUUUUUUAAUAAACCAUCUUUUCUCCUGUAA